rnacentral:lncRNA from 1 species
UGUGGAGUCAAGGGUCGCUUUUGAAUGGACGGAUGGGAAGCCUUACAUGCUUUGGCUCUUUACAGCCUGUCACAGCCUGUCUUGCUCUUCCCUUAUCCACUCAACGGUCUGAUCCUCUCCACUUGUGAGAUUUUCAGAGCACAGGUUGUGUGGGCGUGGUGAAUCAACCUCCACAGGUUGGGACUGAGUCUUGUUCAACAAUGGAAGAGAAUAACAAAGAGACUGAUGGAAGAAUAAGAAUGGUGUGAGAUUAAGAGACUUUGGGUGAGAGACUGAGAGAUUAGAGAGAUUGAGAGAUUAGGUAACCAGAGAAUAGAGAUUGGGAGAUUCAAAGUAACCAAAGACUAUGAAGGAGAAGGGGAAAUCCCCCUAACUCUCUUAAGAGUUACAAAUCGCCAUAUACAUCUGUUUAUAUAGACUUUUACAAUCUGAGACAUCAUAAACCUAUAUCUAAUGGCUGUAAAUAACUUAAGAGGAAUGGAUGGUGUAGAUGAGCUGGUCUUGUUGCAAUCUGUGUAGUUGAAUCUGAUUGGCUGAAGCAGCUGGCGCCUAUCUUUAAUUCAAACCAGGGCUGUGCUGUGAUUGGCUUUCCUUAAGCUCCUCCUAAUCUGUCCACAGAUCAGUCUAGGUUCAUGGUCGUGGCUCCCCUUGCCUUUACAGUCAAAGCCAGCCUGUCCCAUGACCAAACUCUCCAAUCAUAUCACAGCACCUUAUCUUCUUUGUCUUCUUCUCUUAAGAGCUUCUUUUGUCUUCUUCUCUUAAGAGCUUGUUUUGUCUUCUUCUCUUAAGAGCUGACCUAUGCCCUAUUUUUGCACAAACUUCAUAACUUCUGAAAUGAUCGAGUUAUGAGCUUUCGGGUCGGGACAGGUCCGUACGGAUCCGUACGGUCCGUACACGUCCGUACCAAAUCCGUACGGCCUCGCCCUAAGUUUGCACACUCGACCACCUGCUCCCAAAGAUACUCCUAAGCCUCUCCUGACUUGGCCCUAUCUUUGCACAACCAUUAGAUCACUUCUGGACACUCUCAGACCCUCCUGAAGCCUUAGUAGACAAUCCCUGAAGGACUUGCCCUAUCUUUGCACAAGCACCAACUCAACUCAUCACCUUUGCUUCUCCACUUCUUCUCUUCAAGUUAACACCACUAAGCCCUCAAGGUAACAUCUGCUUGUUACCGUUUCACUUGGUCAAGGUUAGGUAACCUUUGGUCGAGACAUUUGGUACGGACGGUACGGCCAUGUACGGCCUUGUACGGACGUCCGUACCAUGCUUGCCCAAAGUCCCCUCAUUCUCUUCCUCCUCUUCUCUUCCACUUCUUAUCUCUUCAUGUUCAUAUCUUCAACUCAUCUCAACCUCCCCCUCAAGCUUGACCUUAGCUGAUCCUAAGUCAAGCUUGGAACCUUGAAGAAUCCCCUCAUUAAAAACCUUACAAGGAAAACCCUUUGGGACAAAACCUUGUAAGGGAAAAAGAGUAGGUUCAUCAAGGCCUGGGGAUUGGCCAGUGAGCCCUUGUGCCUUAGAACCAGUGUGGUUGGACACAAGAAGCUCUGGAUCACGGCCUAAUAGGUGCAACAACUCUUCACAGCUUUGCACACACUUCACACUUCAGCUUCACCUCUUCAUGGAACUGGUUUGAAGUCUCCCCCUCUCAACUGACUUCUCAGCCAUCUUAGAGAAGCUAGGACACGACCAGAGUAUCUUCAAACACCAGUGAGCCUUAUCAACACUUCACACACGGCUUGCCCUCCUCAUAGACCUGGUUUGGAUCUCCCCCUCUCAACAAACUUCACAGCCACCUUAGAGAAGCUAGGAAAUGACCAGGAACACCUUUAGUGAGGCUCAAGCAAUGGUACCUGAUACAUUAUCCCAAAGGUGCAUCAGUACCUAUCAAAACCAAGAAAAUGAAUAUCCUGCAUCACACUUGAUGCACACAAUCUCACACUUCAAUCAUAAUCUUUUUAAGUAUCUUUUCACGCAUAAGCAAUGAAUAAGAUGAAUGAAGAAGAUUUGAAGAAAGAGUUUAAAAAUCUAAGGGAACUUCCCUUGUGUUUUUGUGAGUUUCCUAACUCGGCCAAUGCACCAUCUUCUUGGCAUCAUCAACUUCUUGGAAAGGCAGAAUGGAUUCAUCAGCUUCUCCUCAAUCACCUCUCAUUGAAGCCGCAUUGAUGGAGAGCCUUCUUCCUCACUCGCCAAGGCUGCUCUGAACAGCCUCUUACCUAGACACGCCACUGACUUGGUCCGGUUGAUGAUCCUUGUAGAAGCCUUUGCAAAGACUUGUUACUGACCAUGGAUCAUAUGCAUUAAGACUCCCCCUCAAGCUUAGAACCGAGACUAGAAGAAGCUAAGCUUGUGAUGAUCCUAUGCAUCUCCAUGGUCUAAUAACUAUCAUCUUUCAUGAUAGCUUUCUUCUUGUGAGUUUACUCUCUUCCUUAACCAGGAACUAGGGUGUUUGAAUCACCAUAGAGAGUCUCACAAGACACACCUCUCAUUGCAUAAUGACCCAUGCUACACUUCCUGUAGACUAAGGACUAGAUAUGUCCAAUGGUAUUAUGCAAUGGCCAUCUCUCAUUGCAUACUCAAUCACACUACACUUCCUGUAGAUUAUGGACUAACAUGUCCUGGUGAUGAUAUGCAAUGGCACAAGACCUUUGUCUUUACAUUCUUGGUUGUUGGCGAGUUACAUGUAUCACACUCCUUGUGUACCUAACACCACCACAACUCAAUGCAAGAUCAGAUCAUCCCAUUGGGAUCAAACUAAGAUCAUCCAUCCUGUUUGAUCACCAAUGCCACAACAAUAUAUAAAUCUUGAAACAAGCCAAUCAAUCAAAGCAAGAACAAUCAGUUUUAAAUCUCUAAAAUGACAAUGCAAGCUUUAAACAAUACAUUGACAAUUUAGGCUCAUUUUUAAAUGCAUCAAUACAUGAAUGCACAGUCUUAAAGCAUUAACUACAUGAAUGCAUCAGGUUCAAUCCGAGAGCAAUAUUAAAGCUAUGCACAACUGUUCCAAUCAAUACUAAUGAUGCAAGCAACUUAGACAGUUUCUAAUUGAUGCAAGACAAUCAAUGAUGGAUUAAACAUAGGCAAUAGCAUCAGACAACAAUAGGAUUGAACUUAGACAGUAUGAGACAUGCUUAUGUAUGCAAAACAGCUUAUCAAUCAUGAUGCAAGCAGCAGAGACAUUCUACUCAAUUCUACAACACAUUCAUGAUGAUUUCAAGCUAUGGCAAUACACAAGACAAUGCAAUGAACAGAACAUGAGAUUUUGGGACUCUAGACAUUACUUAAUAUCAAUAAGACAAUGCAGUAGCAAAAUAUUUCCAGUGCAAUUAGCCUAGACCUUCUACUAGAAGACAUAUUAAAAAUAGAUGAGACUAGGUUUACUCCCUUGUUUAAGAUGGUGAGGAGUGGUCUCUUCAUUUCGCCACUUGAGUCCUCACUUGCUACGCUUAACAGCUUCUCCUUUCAUCACACAAGCUCACUAACACUCCUUCUCAAGCUUGAGACCGAGUAUAGGAAAGGUCCAAGCUUGAAGGUGAGCGCUUACUAAGCUUCAUGAACAACCUUGUGGGAACACCUCCAUCUUCUUCAGACUUGAUGCUUACUUCCCCACUUAACCACCAUUGCACUGAGGAGAUACCUCAGCUUACUCUCCAAGUACUUCUUAUUAAAAGCUCAUUGAGUGGCUUUCUUCUUCCCUCUACUUCGGCUGCAUCUACACAUGAUCAGCUUGCAAUGGCCUUGAGGAACCAGGUCAUUGAGCUUAGAGGAUCUUCUGGUAGCUCACUUGAGUCCACACCUCAAGCUUGACUUAGUAUAGGUGCAAGCUUGAAGUGAGUCUCAAUGAGACUUCAAACCGGGAGCGCAUCACUACCUACAGCUGCGCUUAACCCAACCGAUCUGCCAUUGCCUUCAGCUCCAAUGCCUUCAGGUCAUCAGUCUCCCCAAGACUUAGAUGAUGACCUUUACUUGUGUGUCUCCAUGAACCAGGAGCUCAUCACUAUUACUAGCUGCGCUAUCUCAACCGGCCAUACACACAAGUCUUUCUCCAUUGCUUUAACAAUGGCAAGGUCUUCCUCUUCUACUUGGAUGGAUGGUGAGCAAAGAACACUUCUUGUGAACCUGAAACACCACUCAAACUCCAGCAAAGAUAAGACACAAUUGCAUUGGGAUCAAUCCUUGACUUCAUCAAGUUUGAUCACCAAUGUCUCAAGCUUUAUAACAUUAGAUAGAAUCAAGACACUGUCAAGUUCUUAUCUAUGCAAGCAACCAUUCUCUAAAUACUAAGCAAGACCUUAUCAGAUUCAAGUCAAAGUAUUAGGCAAUUUUAAUCACUCCUUAAUAUGCUACUUAGACUUUUAAUCUAAAUGCAACAAUACAAGGCAGCAACAAGGCAGUAUGCAUUAAUCUGAAUCAGUUUCUACUCAUGACAGCAAGUAUGAUUAGAUAAUAUAAUCUAUCAUCUUAACAAGACAAGUUUCAUUUAGAACUGACAUUAAGCAUUUCACCAUUUUCAAUAAUAUUGUUGUCAAAACUUGAUUAAUAAAUCAUCAAGUUUGAUUCCCAAUAUCACAAGCAAUGCAACAGAUAGACACAAGGCAUUAUCAAGUUCUAUUCUUUGCAAGCUAACUCUCUAAGUACAUGCAAGAUCCUACCAGAUUCAAGACAAGUUACUUAGGCACUUUUAAAGCUUCUUUAUGUUGACUUGAAGAAAGAAAUGGAGCCAAAGGAGGAGUUGGGUUGAGUUUGGGUCUUGAGCAAGAAUAGGGACAAGAUCUUAAGAGAUUGUCUAUCAAGGCUUCAUGAAGGUUUAGAGAAGUCUAGAAGUGUCAUGAAGGCUGUGCAAAGAUAGGGUUUGAGUCCAGGAGGGACUUAGACACCAUUUGGAGACAGAUGGGUGAUGGUGCAAAGAUAGGGCGACCAGAUGAUCAGACGGUACGGACGGUACAAAACUGGACGGGCCGGGCAAUCUUAGGGCGACCCAAACCGAGUCAGGUCUAACCAUUGGAGAUGUUUGGGUGAGAUGUGCAAAAAUAGGGCGAGGUACGGACAGGCGGUACGUACCAUCAACCGUACUUCACCCAGGAUCGACCAGAAGUUGUGCAAACUUAGGGCGUCGGUUUAGAGAGCGAUUAGGCGACCUUGUCUGAUUGUAAUCAGACUGUUUGUGGAUAAGGAAGAGAGAGGACGUGGUCAACAAGGACAGGCUGUCAAGAGGUGUAAAAGGAAAGCAAAGGGGACCAUGUAUCUAGCUAAAGAAGUGGGAAGGUUCAUGGGAGCCUUUGAGGAACCAAUCAGAAGCCUGCCCUUGCCUUGACCAGUUUGAAUGGACCAAUCACCAGCCAGCCUUCCUUAACCAAUCAGAAGCCAUCACCAAGAUUGCAAAGACCAAAACAAGACUACAUCCAAGCCAUCCAUUUCACAAGUCAUUUCUAGCCAUUAGAUUAAGGGUUUCUAAUGUUUCAAAGUGUAAAGCUUAUAAAAGCAUGUGUAUGGACGAAAAUUAAAGCUCUUAAGAGAGUAUGGGGGAUUUCCCCAUCUCCUUCAUAUUAUAAAGUAUGUUCUUGAUCAGAUUCUCUUAAUCUCUCCCUUUCUUAGUCUCUAAUCUCUUAAUCUCUCAAAGUCUCUUUGUUUCUGAUCUAAGUUCAUACUAGUUCAUCAGAUUCUUUCUUCACCAUUUCAAGACUCUAUUCUGCCCUAAGAGGCUUGUUCUUCACACACACAUCCUAGACUCUUAAAUCUCAUAUGGUAUCAGAGCCAGGUUCAUUAGAACUUGGUUCAAGCUUCCGCUAAGCUCAAGGCUUCUCCCAUGUCAUUUCCAAACCAAGAAGAAGCUUCAUGUUCAGCCUGCUGUAAAACCUCUCCAAGAAGAAGGUGGGCUCAUACAUGGCGUCCAGUAGCUGUCUCUGGUUGUUCUCCACGUUCUCAUGUCCACCCUUGAAGAAAGAAGGCCUUGGAAGCAAAGGUUAUGAAGUGGUCUAGCUAGCCUCUUCAACAAACCAGAUCCAGGCGAGUCUCAUGGUGAUUCUCAUGAAGAAAGGUGGUCUCUUUGACAUGGUGGGUUCAAGAGGAAGGUCCAUGGAAGCAGGAGAUGUUGGGGUCGACACCAACAGCUCAGAUCUUGCCAUGUACUAAGGAGUUUCAAGGAACUAACACUAGUUCCUUGGCUGUAAGGAAAUCUCUUUCUCUUGUAUAAAGCUUGAGUAUUUGAACUGAAAAUUAUAUUAAACUGAUUGUGAUGUGGUGUUGUGAUUGAAAACUUGAGGAUAUAUUAAAGAUUGCUAAAUAAAAUGAAAUGAAUUUAGAAUCUGUCCCAUAAUGCUUAAAAAGUCUUGUUUGGUGGUUGAAAAGUUUAAAAAUGCUUAACCCUGAUUCUAGUGAGGCUUGUUAGGGAGUUAGAAGUUGUCUAAACCUGAUUGCUUUCAUGAAAUGAGAUCACCUAAGGUUAUGCAUUGGGUCUGAUAUUGGUUGUUGAUAGUAGUGCUUAACUAAGGUUCAUAGUGAUGCUUGUUGUGAUUGCUUAAAUCUGCUUGCAUACAUGGAUUGAAACCGUUUUAAAGUUAUUGCAUACUGUCUUGUGGCUGUCUUACAUUGAAGCAUUAGAUUCAUGUCUAAAUUGCUGAGUAAAGAAGCUUUAAAAAUUGCCUAAGUAGCUUGUAUUGAAUCUGUUAAGAUCAUGCUUGUGCUUAGAGAGUUUGCUUGCAAAGAUUAGAACUUGAAAAUGACUUGUUUAAUCUGUUGCAAUGCUUGUGAUAUUGGGAAUCAAACUUGAUGAUUAAUCAAGGAUUGAUCCCAAUACUAUUGUGUCUUAUCUUUGCUGGAGUUUGAGUGAUGUUUCAGGUUCACAAGAAGUGUUCUUUGCUCACCAUCCAUCCGAGUAUAAGAGGAAGACUUGUUGCCCAUUGUGUGUGCAAUGGAGAGUGGUUACUAGUGUGAUAUGGCGCCACUGGUGUGAAGUCUCACUGAAGCUCACUUCAAGCUUGAACCUAGAUUAGGCCAAGCUUGAGGAGGGGAGUUGAGUGAGCUUCCUAGGCAAUCCAAGAAGUCCAUUGCAAGCACCUGAAGAAGGAGCCAUCCGGGUUUAGGCUGUGGCGAGUCUAUUCAAGAGAGUACUCAAACUAAGACAGAGUACUCUUGGCUGUGAGAAGAUUAAGGCUACUCUAUCAAGGCGGCUUCUAGUGUGAGGUGGUUGAAGAGAUAGCUGAGGCUUCCACAAGCAUUCCAUUCAAGAUGGCGAGUUCAAGAAGAGGCUGCAAUGGUGUGUGUGUGUUGAUCAUGAAGCCAUCCGUUCAAGCUUGUUCCUGUGAGAGUCUCAAGCUUGAGGGGGAGUGUUGAAGCUUACAUGAUCAGAAUGAGCUUGGUGGUUAUUCUAGAAGAGGAAGCAACCUGUUGGGAAGUAUGAUGAAGGAUGAAGAAGCAAUGUCCAAGGCGGCUUCAAGUGUUGAGGUGAUUGGAGAGUGGCUGAAACAUCCUCAUGUAGUUCCAGCAACAAGGUGGCGACUCUAGAAGAAGAAGAAGCAGCCAAGACUCAGCAAGAGUGUUGUAUCUCCAAGAAGAGGCUGAUAUGGUGUGUCCGAGCACUUCAACCUAACAAGAGAUUAGGUGAAAGGGGGAGAGACCAAGAUCAGGCAGUAAGGAGAGUACAAGGCGUGGGGAGAAUGAAGAGGCCAUGAUCCAGAGUCUUUGUGUCCCUUACAUUGUUGGUAAGGCACAAAGACUCACUGGCCAAUCCCUAGGCCAUGGAGACUUUACUCUUUUUCCCUCAUCAAGGUUUUGUCCCAAAGGGUUUUCCUUGGUGAGGUUUUUAAUGAGGAAGUUCUUCAAGGUUCCAAGCUUGACUUAGGAUCAGCUAAAGUCAAGCUUGAGGGGGAGUGUUGACUUGAAGAAAGAAAUGGAGACAAAGGAGGAGUUGGGUUGAGUUUGGGUCUUGAGCAAGAAUAGGGACAAGAUCUUAAGAGAUUGUCUAUCAAGGCUUCAUGAAGGUUUAGAGAAGUCUAGAAGUGUCAUGAAGGCUGUGCAAAGAUAGGGUUUGAGUCCAGGAGGGACUUAGACACCAUUUGGAGAUAGUUGGGUGAUGGUGCAAAGAUAGGGCGUCUCGAGGUUCAGACGGUACUGACGGUACGGACAAACCGUGCAAACUUAGGGCGACCCAGAACCUGAUCACACUCAACCAUUGGAGAUGUUUGGGUGAGAUGUGCAAACUUAGGGCGCGGUACGGACAGGCGGUCCGUACCAUCAACCGUACUUCACCCAGGAUCGACCAGAAGUUGUGCAAACUUAGGGCGUCGGUUUAGAGAGCGAUUAGGCGACCUUGUCUGAUUGUAAUCAGACUGUUUGUGGAUAAGGAAGAGAGAGGACGUGGUCAACAAGGACAGGCUGUCAAGAGGUGUAAAGGGAAAGCAAAGGGGACCAUGUAUCUAGCUAAAGAAGUGGGAAGGUUCAUGGGAGCCUUUGAGGAACCAAUCAGAAGCCAGCCCUUGCCUUGACCAGUUUGAAUGGACCAAUCACCAGCCAGCCUUCCUUAACCAAUCAGAAGCCAUCACCAAGAUUGCAAAGACCAAAACAAGACUACAUCCAAGCCAUCCAUUUCACAAGUCAUUUCUAGCCAUUAGAUUAAGGGUUUCUAAUGUUUCAAAGUGUAAAGCUUAUAAAAGCAUGUGUAUGGACGAAAAUUAAAGCUCUUAAGAGAGUAUGGGGGUUUUCCCAUCUCCUUCAUAAUUAUAAAAGUGUGUUCUUGAUCAGAUUCCCUUAAUCUCUCCCUUUCUUAGUCUCUAAUCUCUUAAUCUCUCAAAGUCUCUUUGUUUAUGAUCUAAGUUCAUACUAGUUUCAUCAGAUUCUUUCUUCACCAUUUCAAGACUCUAUUCUGCCCUAAGAGGCUUGUUCUUCACACACACAUCCUAGACUCUUAAAUCUCAUAUGGAGGAGAGCUAGUUGAUAUCUGAUUGGUUUAUUCAAAUUGGUCAUAGGGAAGGCUGUUCUCCCAUUGGCUCCUUAUAGGCUCCCAUGUAUCCAGCCCUUAAUCAGAUCAGGUUCAUGGUAAAGGCUGUCUUUCACUUUACAGCUACAGCCAGCCUGUCCAUACUCCAAAGUAGCCAAUCAGCUCCAUCUCAGCUCUCAUUGGCCGCUUGCCUUCACAAGGGAUCUCCUUGAUUCCCUUUUGAUGCUCCACGACCAGACUCCUUUUACUCAGCCCUAAGUGUGCACAAAGCCUCCAUGACAUGUUCUGAUCACGCCCUAACUUUGCACAUCUUGUCCCGGACUUUGCACAAUCUCAAAACAUCUCAAAUGGCCAAGUUGUGUAUCCUCGGGUUGUCUCGGUCCGUACGGAUCCGUACAGGUCCGUACCAUCCGUACUGCCUCGCCCUAAGUAUGCACACUUGCCCAUUUGCUCCCAAACACUCUUCUAAGUCCCUCCUGGACUUGGCCCUAUCUUUGCACAGCCAUAUGAGCACUUCUGGACACCUUCAAACACUCCUAAAGUAUUCAUAGAUAAUCUCCGGAGGUCUUGCCCUAUUCUUGCUCAAGACUCAAUCUCAACUCAACACUUCACCACUCCAUUUCUUUUCUUCAAGUCAACACUCUCCAUCUGAACCAUCCAUUUAAACUUCAAGUAUUAUCAGCCAUUAGAUUUAGGUUUAUGAUUUGCAUCUUGUAAGAGCUUAUAUAAGCUUAGUAAUGGCGAUUUGUAAAGGUUAAGGGAGUAAGGGGGAUUUCCCCUCUCCACUUCAUGGAAAUAAGAAGUUGUGUUCUUGAAUCAGAUUCUCUUUAAUCUCUCCCUUUCUUAGUCUUUAAUCUCCUAAUCUCUCAAAGUCUUUUGUUUCUGAUUUAAGUAAACACUCUCAUCAAUCUCUCUUUCUAAAUCACCUAGAGCAAGCUCUCAUCUUUCUCCAUUGGAGUUUAUACACACACAAACACAACUAGAGAAGAGAACUCUAUAAAUCUCACAUGGUAUCAGAGCCAGGUUCAUCAGAACCUGAGCUGUAGCUUCCGCAAAUCACUUGCUCUCACCUCAGCUCAAUCCAAACCCUUGAAGCCUUUCCCAUCCGAGUUCAGUUUCUCCAUGAAGUAGAAGACUGAAGCUGGCGUGGCUCUUAUCCUUUCUCCUGUCCAUACUGAUGGAGAGACUCAUUGGAAGCAGAGGUGUAUGGAGAGGCCUCGCGAACCUCAUCCUAGGUGCCUUGUCCAAGAGCUUUCCCAUCCGGUUCAUCAAGCAAGCUGCCAAGAAGGUGGCGCCUAGAAGAGAAGGAGAAAGGAGGGGUCUUUGAGUUAGAGAAACAAGGAGGAAGUCAUGAACUGAAGGAGAAGGAGAGAGGUGACGACCUAGACUCUCAUAUCCACAAAGUCAUGAGCUUACCAUCCGAGAGUGAUAGAAGGACCAACCUGGUUCCUUGGCAGUAAGCGAUUCUUUAAACCUUAAGUGAUAAUGAGCUUGUGAUAAAAUCUGGUUGUUGUGUUGUGAUGUGAUUGAAAACCUGAGGAUUGUUUAAAGAUUGCUAAAUGAAUUUAGAAUCUAUCCCAGGAUGCUUAAAGAGACUUGUUUGGUGAUUGAGAUUGAUUUUAAAAUGCUUAGCUCCGGUUCAUUGUAGUGCUUGUUGUGAUUGAUUGAAUCUGCUUGCAUACAUGGAUUGAAACUGAAUUUAAAGCUGUUGCAUAUAGNNNNNNNNNNNNNNNNNNNNNNNNNNNNNNNNNNNNNNNNNNNNNNNNNNNNNNNNNNNNNNNNNNNNNNNNNNNNNNNNNNNNNNNNNNNNNNNNNNNNNNNNNNNNNNNNNNNNNNNNNNNNNNNNNNNNNNNNNNNNNNNNNNNNNNNNNNNNNNNNNNNNNNNNNNNNNNNNNNNNNNNNNNNNNNNNNNNNNNNNNNNNNNNNNNNNNNNNNNNNNNNNNNNNNNNNNNNNNNNNNNNNNNNNNNNNNNNNNNNNNNNNNNNNNNNNNNNNNNNNNNNNNNNNNNNNNNNNNNNNNNNNNNNNNNNNNNNNNNNNNNNNNNNNNNNNNNNNNNNNNNNNNNNNNNNNNNNNNNNNNNNNNNNNNNNNNNNNNNNNNNNNNNNNNNNNNNNNNNNNNNNNNNNNNNNNNNNNNNNNNNNNNNNNNNNNNNNNNNNNNNNNNNNNNNNNNNNNNNNNNNNNNNNNNNNNNNNNNNNNNNNNNNNNNNNNNNNNNNNNNNNNNNNNNNNNNNNNNNNNNNNNNNNNNNNNNNNNNNNNNNNNNNNNNNNNNNNNNNNNNNNNNNNNNNNNNNNNNNNNNNNNNNNNNNNNNNNNNNNNNNNNNNNNNNNNNNNNNNNNNNNNNNNNNNNNNNNNNNNNNNNNNNNNNNNNNNNNNNNNNNNNNNNNNNNNNNNNNNNNNNNNNNNNNNNNNNNNNNNNNNNNNNNNNNNNNNNNNNNNNNNNNNNNNNNNNNNNNNNNNNNNNNNNNNNNNNNNNNNNNNNNNNNNNNNNNNNNNNNNNNNNNNNNNNNNNNNNNNNNNNNNNNNNNNNNNNNNNNNNNNNNNNNNNNNNNNNNNNNNNNNNNNNNNNNNNNNNNNNNNNNNNNNNNNNNNNNNNNNNNNNNNNNNNNNNNNNNNNNNNNNUUCGUCAUUCUAAUCAAACCAGGAUGAAUCGCGAUGUAAGAACCUUCAUUUGGAUACAUAAAGUAGUGUAGAAUCACCAGGAAGUUGAAUAAAUCUCAUAGGAGUUAGGAUGAAGAAGUUAUCCCACUUUCAAAUAAGGUUAUCCCAGUUUCCCUGUUUGAGAAUAUGACAACUUCUUCGUCAUUCUAAUCAAACCAGGAUGAAUCGUGAUAUACAAAGCUUGAUUUGGAUACAUAAAGUAGUGGAGAAUCAUCAGGAAGUUGAAUAAAUCUUAUAGGAGUUAGGAUGGAGAAGUUAUCCCACUUUCAAAUAAGGUGAUCCCAGUUUCCUUGUUUGGGAAUAUGACAACUUCUUCGUCAUUCUAAUCAAACCAGGAUGAAUCGUGAUAUACAAAGCUUGAUUUGGAUACAUAAAGUAGUGGAGAAUCAUCAGGAAGUUGAAUAAAUCUUAUAGGAGUUAGGAUGAAGAAGUUAUCCCACUUUCAAAUAAGGUGAUCCCAGUUUCCUUGUUUGGGAAUAUGACAACUUCUUCGUCAUUCUAAUCAAACCAGGAUGAAUCGCGAUGUACAAAGCUUGAUUUGGAUACAUAAAGUAGUGGAGAAUCACCAGGAAGUUGAAUAAAUCUCGUAGGAGUUAGGAUGAAGAAGUUAUCCCACUUUUAAAUAAGGUGAUCCCAGUUUCCCUGUUUGGGAAUAUUAUUGUUGAGAUGAAGAGUGUCAAGUGAAGAAUAGAGAUGAGGGUUGAGUAGAAUGAAGAAUAGGAAGGAUAGGAAGGUUUGGGAGCUUUGGGAUCAGCCUGUCCGUACAAGGCCGUACAUGGCCGUACAUGACAGGACAGGCCGUACAAGAUAGGAUCGACCAAAGCUCAACCAACCCUCACCAUAAGUUAUCCGAGUUACUUAAGUAAAGAGGAGAAGUUACCUUGGCCUUUGUGGGUGGAUCAGACCGUUGGAAAGGAUAAGGGAGAGUCUUGGAUAGGCUGGCACAGCUGGACACGGAAAAGCGAAAGGUAUGAGCCAGCUAAUGAAGGCUCACACGCGCGGCUCACCUCAUUGGACAAGUUUGAAAUGGCCAUUGACUCCACAUGCUUACCUUAUCCUCUUAGCUACGAAAACCCUAGUCUCUUCUCUUAUAAAGUUGUAAACACUCUCAUUAAUACAAUCAAGCAAGUUAUGAGUCUCUCUUAGUCUUUCUAAAACUCUCUCUAGACUCCAAAUCUUAUUUCAGACUUUAAUCUUUUCUAAACUCAUUUUAAUCUUCUCUAAACACUCAGAUUACUCUUAACAUCACUAAAACUAUCAUGGUAUCAGAGCCAGGUUAGUGAGAGCCUGAGGUCGUGUGAGAUUCUUUGAAGUUACAAGUUUGAAACUUUGAAGAAACUCUUGUGUGUUCUUAUGUGUUUGAGAGGUUCUGGGUACUUUUCAAGUUCAAGACUAGUUGUGGUGUGUUGUCUGAAGCUGCGUGGGUUGAAGAUCGAGGCUGUGAAGGUUUCUACAAGUCAUUCAACUCAAGAUAGAGUUCCUGAAGCUUAGAGAGUUCAUCAUUCAACAUGGAGAGUGGGAUGAACAUGAACAUGAAGGUAGCCGUGUGUUUCAAGGGAAACAACUACUUGGUAUGGUCAAGGAUGGUGAGAACCACGGUGGGAAGCAAGGGGUUGUGGAAGCAUAUCAACCCCGGAGAAGCUCCAAAACUCAUCACUCAAGUAGAGGAUGAUGGUGAGGCUGCAAGCAACGCGGCUGAGAAGUGGUAUCAAGAGGACAUGCUGGUGAUGUCAGUGCUUCACGCAUCCCUUGAGCCAGCAAUCUUAGAUGCUUACAGCUACUGUGAGUCUGCUAAGGAACUGUGGGACACACUGAAGAAGGUGUAUGGGAAUACAUCAAACUUGAGCAGGGUGUUUGAGGUGAAGCAAGCGAUUAACAACCUGGUACAAGAGGAUAUGGAGUUCACUAAACACCUUGGGAGAUUCAGAUCACUAUGGUCCGAGAUGGAGAUGUUAAGGCCAAGCACUACAGAUGCAGAUGAGCUCAACAAGAGAAGAGAGCAAGACAAGGUCUUUGGCCUACUUCUCACCCUCAACCCGGCGUAUAAUGGUCUCAUCCAGCACCUGCUUAGAGAAGACACUCUACCUGACCUUGAGGAUGUGUGUGCGCGGAUUCAGAAGGAGCAAGGCUCCAUUGGGUUGUUUGCCAAGAAAGGAGACCUUUCCCUUGCAAGCCAAGCGACUCAAGAGGAAGGGAAUGAAGCUACACAAGCAAAUAAGGCUGCUGCGCAUGGGAAGUAUGAGGAGAGGAGGUUCAAUGGGAACUGUGAUCACUGCAAGAAGCAUGGCCACAAGAAGAGUCAAUGCUGGAUCCUUCACCCACACCUCAAACCGGCAAAGUUCAUGAAGGACCGUGAGGCAAGGGCUAAUGUAUCAGAUGGAACGAGUGGAGCUGGUUCAAGCAAAGGAAAGGAGAUAGAUGGGCGUGAAGGAGGUGAUGGGAAGUCUCUUGUAGCCUACACUGGAGCCCCAAGCAACCGUGGGAACUAUGAUCGAGAGUAUCUAAGGAGAUCCGACCUGGAUGCUCUCAUCAAGCUCUUUAAAGAGCAUGGUAACACAUUUGCUUAUUCCUUUGGUGCUAGGGCUAUAGAGAAUGAUGAGAAUCUAACUAGAACUGAUAGGAUGCAUGAAAGUGUGAUUGAGAUAUUAAACCAAUCUAGAACGGCUAGUUUUGCUAGGAAUGAUCAUGUAUUCAAACCGUCUAGUAUCCUUGCUCAUAUUGCUAGUUCACAUACCAUUAAGCCUUUAGUAGUUGAUUCUGGUGCAUCUCAUCAUAUGAUAAGUGACACUAGUUUAAUUAAAGACAUUGUACCAAUGAAUGGUAAUGUGAUGAUAGCUAAUGGAGAUAAGAUACCUAUUAGAGGAAUAGGAAGUCUUAAACUGUUUGGUAAGGAGACUAAAGCCUUUUAUAUGCCUGAAUUUACUUCAAACUUGUUAUCUGUUAAGAAAUGUGCUACUGAUUUGCAAUGCAAUGUCAUAUUCAGUCCUAAUGAUGUGAAGUUUCAGGAUAUUAAAAGCAGCAAGAUGAUUGGAAAGGGAGUGACUAAAGGAGAAUUGUAUUUACUCAAAGAUCUUGCUCCUGUUUCUAGUUAUAGCUGCUCGUUUACUUCUGUUUCUGGUUCUAGUUUAAGUAAAAAUGCAUUGUGGCAUGCUAGAUUAGGACACCCUCAUAAUAAGGCUUUAAAACUGAUGUUGCCAGGUGUUUCCUUUGAGAAUAAUGAGUGUGAAGCUUGCAUCUUAGGCAAGCAUUGUAGAACUGUCUUUACCAAGUCUACUACUGUUUAUGAAAAAUGUUUUGAUCUUAUUCAUUCUGAUGUUUGGACUGCACCUUGCCUUUCUAGAGACAAUCAUAAGUACUAUGUAACUUUCAUUGAUGAAAAAUCCAAAUACACCUGGUUAACUUUAAUUCCAACCAAAGAUAGGGUACUUGAUGCAUUUAAAAACUUUCAAGCCUAUGUGAUUAACCAUUACAAUGCCAAGAUAAAAAUUUUUAGGUCAGAUAAUGGAGGAGAGUACACGGGACAAGCAUUCAAGCUACAUCUAUCUCAACAUGGAAUACUUCAUCAGACAAGCUGUCCCUAUACACCACAACAGAAUGGUGUGGCUGAAAGGAAGAACAGGCACUUGAUGGAAGUAGCCAGGUCCAUGAUGUUUCAAUCCAAUGUGCCUAAGAAGUUUUGGAGUGAUGCAGUUGCUACGGCUUGUUAUCUCAUCAACAGGACACCAACUCUGAUCCUUCAAGGACAAUCACCAUUUGAGGUAUUGAAUCAGUACAAACCUUCACUCGAGCAUAUGAAGAUCUUUGUAUGUUUGUGUUUUGUGAUGGUGCCUGGAGAGAUAAGAAACAAGCUAGAAGCUAAUAGUUCAAAGGCAAUGUUCAUUGGAUACUCAUCAAGUCAGAAAGGAUACAAGUGCUAUGAUCCUAACACAAGGAGAGUGUUAGUAUCUAGAGAAGUAAAGUUUGUUGAAGAAAAAGGAUAUUAUGAGGAGCAGAUUCAAGAAGAUUUGAAGGAUCUUACAUCUGAUAGAGCUGAAACCUUGAGGUUGAUCCUAGAAGGGCUUGGAAUCAACAUGAAUCAAGGACAUCAGGGGGGGAGAAGCUGUUAACUUGAAGAGAAGAAAUGGAGAAACUAAAGGUGUUGAGUUGAGUUGGGGCUUGUGCAAAAGAUAGGGCAAGGUGUCCAGAAGUGUCAUGAUGGAUGUGCAAUGUUAGGGCCAAGUCUAGGAGAGACUUAGAAGUGUAUUUGGGAGCAAAUGGACGAGUGUGCAAAGAUAGGGAGAGGCAGUACGGACAUGUACGGACAGUACGGAUCUGUACAGACCAGGGCGACCCAGAUUUGCAUAACUCGGCCAUUUGAGAAGUUUAGGAAUUGGUGCAAAAAUAGGGUGAACCUGACGUCCCGGGAAAGCUUGUGCAAUGUCUGGGCAAGGUUUGAGAGUUAUAAAAGUGGUCCCAGUCUUGUGGAUAAGGUUCUGAUCAGAUGGCAUCAAAGGAGAAUCAAAAAGAUGCCAUUGGAGUGUGAUUGGCUAGUUUGGUCAUGGGACAGGCUGGCCUUGGCUGUAAAGACAAGGGGAGCCACGACCAUGAACCUGGACUGAUCUGUGGACAGAUUAUGAGGAGCCUAAGGAGAGCCAAUCACAGCCCAGCCUUCCCCAUUUUGAAUUAAACCAAUCAGGCUCCAUCUCCUCUUAACCAAUCAGCAUCAACUACUCAGAUUGCAACAAGACCAGCUCAUCUACACCAUCCAUUCCUCUUAAGUUAUUAUCAGCCAUUAGAUAUAGGUUUCUGAUUGUGUAAACCUGUGUAAGCUUAUAAAUAAGCAUGAUGGACGAAAUUGUAUCUCUCUAAGAGAGAGAGGGGGAUUUCCCCUCCUCCUUCAUCAAUGAAAGGGUUUUGAAAACCAGAAACACAAAUUUAUUCUCUAGUCUUAAUCUCUCAGUCUCUCAGUCUCUUAAUCUCUGUUUCUAAGUCUCUUAUACACUCAAAAACACUCUUAUCAAUCUCUGUUCUUAAAUCACCAUUAAAAGGCUCAAUUGGAGCUUAUGCACAUUCACACACACAACCAGAGUAGUACUCUAUAAAAACUCAUCAAUCUCUGUUCUUAAAUCACCAUUAAAAGGCUCAAUUGGAGCUUAUACACAUUCACACACACAACCAGAGUAGUACUCUAUAAAAACUCACAUGGUAUCAGAGCCAGGUUCAUCAGAACCUGGUUGAAGCUUCCGCACAUCUCACACUCAUACCUCAGCUCAAAUCAAGCCAUGAAGACAGCUCCAUCCAGUUCAGUUUCUCCAUGAAGAAGAAGACUGAAGCUUGGCGCUUGUUCCUGGUUCCUCAACCUUUCUCAUACCUGUCCUGAUGAAGAGCCACGUUGGAAGCAAAGGUAGAUGGAGAGGCCUAGCUAACCUGACUCCAAAACGCCUUGUCAAGUGUUUGUUGCAUCUGGUUACAAGAAAGAAGAUGUCUAGAAGAUGGUGACUGUAUGUAUGGAGAAAGGAGGGGUCUUUGAGCUGGAGAAACAAGAAAAUGGUCAUGAGUAGAAGGAAGAGAGGUUGGGUGACGACCUGUAACUCUCAGAUCCAACAAGCCAUGACCUUAAUACCAUUGGAGGUUCAAGGAACCAAACAGGUUCCUUGACUGUAAGCUAUUACUAUCCCUUCUUGAUAAUGAGCUUGUGUUAUUGACUGGUUGUGAUGUUGUGAUGUGAUUGAAAACCUGAGGAUUGUUUAAAGAUUGCUAAAUGAAAAUGAUUUAGAAUCUGUCCCAGGAUGCUUAAAGAGACUUGUUUGGUGAUUGAGAUUGAAUUAAUAUGCUUAGCUCCAGUUCAUAGUGAUGCUUGUUGUGAUUAAUUGAAUCUGCUUGUAUACAUGUAAUGAAUCUGAUUGAAAGCUGUUGCAUAUAGUCUUGUGGCUGUCUUACAUUGAAGCAUUAGAUUUAUGUCUAAAUUGCUGAGUAAAGAAGCUUAAAAAAUUGCCUAAGUAGCUUGUAUUGAAUCUGUUAGGAUCAUGCUAGUGCUUAGAGAGUUUGCUUGCAAAGAUUAGAACUUGAAAAUGUCUAGUUUAAUCUGUUGCAUUGCUUAAAGACAUUGGUGUUCAAACUUGAUGAUGCAUCAAGGGUUGACCCAAUGCACUUGUGUCUUAUCUUUGCUGGAGUUUGAGUGAUGUUUCAGGUUCACAAGAGGUGUUCUUGGUUCACCAUCCAUCCGAGUUGAAAGAGGAAGACUUUGCCCAUUGUGUGGAGCAAUGGAGAGUUGAGAAAGAAGUGGUGAUGCGCCACUGGUGUGAAGUCUCACUGAAGCUCACUUGCAAGCUUGGACCUAUACUCAAUCCAAGCUUGAGGAGGGGAGUUUAGUGAGCUAUCAGUCGGACCAAGAAGGUUCAGAAGGUCCAUUGCAAGCAACUGAAGAUGAAGGAGCCAUCCGGGUCUAGGCAGUGGCGUGUAAGAGUUUUAAGUAAUGUAAAAGAUAAUCUGAGUUUAGAUGAGAAUAAGGAAGAGAUUUGUGUAGUUUAAGAGAUUAAGAGACUAAUGGAGAAUCAUUAUGAAAAGUCUAGAGAGAUUAAUUGUUUAGAACUGUCUGAUUCUUAUUAAUGAUGAGCUCACAAUAUAUAUAGGUCCAUACACAUUAGGGUUUUCGAAAUCAUAAGGAUAAGCAAGCAUGUAGAGUCAAAGAGGAGCUGGUGCUUUAGUUUGAACCGGCCAAUGAUAGUCUCCACACGUUUGAAGCAUCUUCUUGAUCCAAGACUAGAUGUUCUUCCUUUCCAGCUCUUGCCAGCCUGUCCUAGCUGUCAAGCCGCGCCUCCCUUAUCCUCUCCAACGUUCGGAUAAGGUCUUGGUCAAGUGUAACUUCAAGUAAGUCCAUGUAAGUUACCCGGAGAGUUACUUGGCCGCUUUUACCUUUGUACGGCCAAUGGUACGGCCUAUCCGUCCGUACCAUCUCUAUCAACCCAUUUCUUCUCUUAACUCCUUUGCCCUCUUUAUGUCCUCAACUCCUUUGUGUCUUUACCUCUUAUCUCAUAUGUCUCAACUCAUCUCAACAGCGUGUCUAGGCAAGAGAGUGUUCAGAGCACUCUUGGCUGUGAGAAGAUGAAGACUUUAUCAGUGCGGCUUCUAGUGUGAGGUGGCUGAAGAGGUAGCUGAAGCUUCCACAAGCACUCCAUGAAGAUGGCGAGUUCAGAAGGUGUUGCAAUGGAGUAAUGGUGCAGAUCAUGAAGCUAUCCAUCCAAGCUUGUUCCUGUGAGAUUCUCAAGCUUGAGGGGGAGUGUUGAAGCUUACAUGAUCUGAGAGUACUUGGUGGUUAUUCAAGAAGAGGAGCAGAUCAGUUAUGAAGCAUAAUGAAGGAUGAAGAAGCAAUCACCAAUGCGGCCUCUAGAGUGAGGUGAUUGGUACUACAGUCUGAAGCAUCCUGUCAUGAAGGUUUCAGUAACAUGUGUUGAAGCUUACAUGAUCUGAGAGUACUUGGUGGUUAUUCAAGAAGAGGAGCAGAUCAGUUAUGAAGCAUAAUGAAGGAUGAAGAAGCAAUCACCAAUGCGGCCUCUAGAGUGAGGUGAUUGGUACUACAGUCUGAAGCAUCCAGUCAUGAAGGUUUCAGUAACAUGGUGGUGACUCAUGAAGAAGAAGCAGCCAAGACUCAGCUUGUAUCUAUCAAAGAAGAUCUGGUAGUCCGAGCACUUGAUCACAACAAGAAGGUUGUGAGAAAGAGGGAGAGACCAAGAUCUGUUUAAAGAAGAGUACAAGAAGUGUUGAUGAUGAGCAAGAGGAGUGGGUUCUAUCUUGCAUCACAUGAGGGCCAUGAUCCAGAGUCUUUGUGUCCCUUACAUUGUUGGUAAGGCACAAAAACUCACUGGCCAAUCCCUAGGCCUUGGAGACUUUACUCUUUUUCCCUCAUCAAGGUUUUGUCCCAAAGGGUUUUCCUUGGUGAGGUUUUUAAUGAGGAAGUUCUUCAAGGUUCCAAGCUUGACUUAGGAUCAACUAAAGUCAAGCUUGAGGGGGAGUGUUAACUUGAAGAGAAGAAAUGGAGAAACUAAAGGUGUUGAGUUGAGUUGGGGCUUGUGCAAAAGAUAGGGCAAGGUGUCCAGAAGUGUCAUGAUGGAUGUGCAAUGUUAGGGCCAAGUCUAGGAGAGACUUAGAAGUGUAUUUGGGAGCAAAUGGACGAGUGUGCAAAGAUAGGGAGAGACAGUACGGACAUGUACGGACAGUAUGGACAUGUACGGACAGUACGGAUCUGUACAGACCAGGGCGACCCAGAUUUGCAUAACUCGGCCAUUUGAGAAGUUUUGGAGUUGGUGCAAAAAUAGGGCGAACCUGACGUCCCGGGAAAGCUUGUGCAAUGUCUGGGCAAGGUUUGAGAGUUAUAAAAGUGGUCCCAGUCUUGUGGAUAAGGUUCUGAUCAGAUGGCAUCAAAGGAGAAUCAAGAAGAUGCCAUUGGAGUGUGAUUGGCUAGUUUGGUCAUGGGACAGGCUGGCCUUGGCUGUAAAGACAAGGGGAGCCAAGACCAUGAACCUGGACUGAUCUGUGGACAGAUUAGGAGGAGCCUAAGGAGAGCCAAUCACAGCCCAGCCUUCCCCAUUUUGAAUUAAACCAAUCAGGCUCCAUCUCCUCUUAACCAAUCAGCAUCAACUACUCAGAUUGCAACAAGACCAGCUCAUCUACACCAUCCAUUCCUCUUAAGUUAUUAUCAGCCAUUAGAUAUAGGUUUCUGAUUGUGUAAACCUGUGUAAGCUUAUAAAUAAGCAUGAUGGACGAAAUUGUAUCUCUCUAAGAGAGAGAGGGGGAUUUCCCCUCCUCCUUCAUCAAUGAAAGGGUUUUGAAAACCAGAAACACAAAUUUAUUCUCUAGUCUUAAUCUCUCAGUCUCUCAGUCUCUUAAUCUCUGUUUCUAAGUCUCUUAUACACUCAAAAACACUCUUAUCAAUCUCUGUUCUUAAAUCACCAUUAAAAGGCUCAAUUGGAGCUUAUACACAUUCACACACACAACCAGAGUAGUACUCUAUAAAAACUCACAUGGUAUCAGAGCCAGGUUCAUCAGAACCUGGUUGAAGCUUCCGCACAUCUCACACUCAUACCUCAGCUCAAAUCAAGCCAUGAAGACAGCUCCAUCCAGUUCAGUUUCUCCAUGAAGAAGAAGACUGAAGCUUGGCGCUUGUUCCUGGUUCCUCAACCUUUCUCAUACCUGUCCUGAUGAAGAGCCACGUUGGAAGCAAAGGUAGAUGGAGAGGCCUAGCUAACCUGACUCCAAAACGCCUUGUCAAGUGUUUGUUGCAUCUGGUUACAAGAAAGAAGAUGUCUAGAAGAUGGUGACUGUAUGUAUGGAGAAAGGAGGGGUCUUUGAGCUGGAGAAACAAGAAAAUGGUCAUGAGUAGAAGGAAGAGAGGUUGGGUGACGACCUGUAACUCUCAGAUCCAACAAGCCAUGACCUUAAUACCAUUGGAGGUUCAAGGAACCAAACAGGUUCCUUGACUGUAAGCUAUUACUAUCCCUUCUUGAUAAUGAGCUUGUGUUAUUGACUGGUUGUGAUGUUGUGAUGUGAUUGAAAACCUGAGGAUUGUUUAAAGAUUGCUAAAUGAAAAUGAUUUAGAAUCUGUCCCAGGAUGCUUAAAGAGACUUGUUUGGUGAUUGAGAUUGAAUUAAUAUGCUUAGCUCCAGUUCAUAGUGAUGCUUGUUGUGAUUAAUUGAAUCUGCUUGUAUACAUGUAAUGAAUCUGAUUGAAAGCUGUUGCAUAUAGUCUUGUGGCUGUCUUACAUUGAAGCAUUAGAUUUAUGUCUAAAUUGCUGAGUAAAGAAGCUUAAAAAAUUGCCUAAGUAGCUUGUAUUGAAUCUGUUAGGAUCAUGCUAGUGCUUAGAGAGUUUGCUUGCAAAGAUUAGAACUUGAAAAUGUCUAGUUUAAUCUGUUGCAUUGCUUAAAGACAUUGGUGUUCAAACUUGAUGAUGCAUCAAGGGUUGACCCAAUGCACUUGUGUCUUAUCUUUGCUGGAGUUUGAGUGAUGUUUCAGGUUCACAAGAGGUGUUCUUGGUUCACCAUCCAUCCGAGUUGAAAGAGGAAGACUUUGCCCAUUGUGUGGAGCAAUGGAGAGUUGAGAGAGAAGUGGUGAUGCGCCACUGGUGUGAAGUGUCACUGAAGCUCACUUGCAAGCUUGGACCUAUACUCAAUCCAAGCUUGAGGAGGGGAGUUUAGUGAGCUUCCAAGCGAUCCAAGAAGUCCAUUGCAAGCAUCUGAAGAAGGAGCCAUUCGGGCUUAGGCUGUGGCGAGUCUAUUCAAGAGAGUACUCAAACUAAGACAGAGUACUCUUGGCUGUGAGAAGAUGAAGGCAACUCUAUCAAGGCGGCUUCUAGUGUGAAGUGAUUGGAGAGAUAGCUGAAGCUUCCACAAGCAUUCCAUGAAGAUGGCAAGAUCAGAAGAGGAGCGGCAAUGGUGUGUGUGUGAGGAUCAUGAAGCAAUCCAUUCAAGCUUGUUCCUGUGAGAGUCUCAAGCUUGAGGGGGAGUGUUGAAGCUUACAUGAUCCAAGAGAGCUUGGUGGUUAUUCUAGAAGAGGAAGCAACCUGUUGAGAAGUAUGAUGAAGGAUGAAGAAGCAAUGUCCAAGGCGGCCUCAAGUGUUGAGGUGAUUGGAGAGUGGCUGAAGCAUCCUCAUGUAGCUCAAGCAACAAGGUGGCGACUCUAGAAGAAGAAGAAGCAGCCAAGACUCAGUAAGAGAAGUUGUAUCUCCAAGAAGAGGCUGAUCUGGUGUGUCUGAGCACUUCAACCUAACAAGAGGUUAGGUGAAAGGGGGAGAGACCAAGAUUAGGCAGUAAGGAGAGUACAAGGCGUGGGAUGAUUGUAGAGGCCAUGAUCCAGAGUCUUUGUGUCCCUUACAUUGUUGGUAAGGCACAAAGACUCACUGGCCAAUCCCUAGGCCUUGGAGACUUUACUCUUUUUCCCUCAUCAAGGUUUUGUCCCAAAGGGUUUUCCUUGGUGAGGUUUUUAAUGAGGAAGUUCUUCAAGGUUCCAAGCUUGACUUAGGAUCAGCUAGAGUCAAGCUUGAGGGGGAGUGUUAACUUGAAGAGAAGAAGUGGAGAAGCAAAAGUGAUGAGUUGAGUUGGUGCUUGUGCAAAGACAUGGCAAGAUCUUCAGAGAUUGUAUGUUAAGGCUUUGGGAGAGUCUUAAGGCUUCAGAAGUGGUCUGAUGAGUGUGCAAAGAUAGGGUUAAGUCCAGGAGGGACUUAGACACCAUUUAGAGAAGAUUUGGGUCAGACAGUAACUCCAAAGUUACCACAGUAACUUUGGAGAGUUACCACAGUAAGAUUGGAGAAGUUUGGGCAAGUUGGUGUAAAAGUGAAUAGUGAAUCACUAGUCACUAUUCAGGUUGACUAUUCACUAUUUGGAUCACUAUUCAGGAUGUGAGGCACCAAGGUUUGAAUCUAGUCAAAGGGAAUCAAGAAGAUGCUGUGUGGAGCUGAUUGGUUACUUUGGGGCAUGGACAGGCUGGCUGUUGCUGUAAAGGAAGAGCAGCCACGACCAUGCACCUAGACUGAUCUGUAGACAGAUACAAAGGAGCCUAAGGAGAGCCAAUCACAGCACAGCCUUGUUUGAAUUAAAGUGAGCCAGCUUAGCUCAUCCAAUCAGCACACAUCACUCAGAUCACAACAAGACCAACUCAUCCUCACCAUCCAUUCCUCUUAAGUUAUUUCUAUCCAUUAGAUAUAGGUUUAUGAGUUUGCAAGAGUGUAAAACCUAUAUAAAGACCCUCAUGGGCGUGUGUAACUCUCUUAAGAGAGUAUGGGGGUUUUCCCCAUCUCCUUCAUAAAUAUAAAAGUGUGUUCUUGAUCAGAUUCCCUUAAUCUACCCCUUUCUUAGUCUCUAAUCUCUUAAUCUCUCUAAGUCUCUUUGUUUCUGAUUCAAGUUCAUACUAGUUUCAUCAGACCUCUUAUUCAACUAGUUCAAGACCUUAUUCUUUGCCUCUAAUGGCUUCUCAUACACAUACACAGCCAGAGCUCUCAAAUCUCAUAAUUUAGUGAUUAGAACUGUCUAACUUUCAUUAAUAAUCUUGGGUUACAAUAUAUUCAAAUCUCAUAAUUUAGUGAUUAGAACUGUCUAACUUUCAUUAAUGAUCUUGGGUUANNNNNNNNNNNNNNNNNNNNNNNNNNNNNNNNNNNNNNNNNNNNNNNNNNNNNNNNNNNNNNNNNNNNNNNNNNNNNNNNNNNNNNNNNNNNNNNNNNNNNNNNNNNNNNNNNNNNNNNNNNNNNNNNNNNNNNNNNNNNNNNNNNNNNNNNNNNNNNNNNNNNNNNNNNNNNNNNNNNNNNNNNNNNNNNNNNNNNNNNNNNNGAACCUUUAAAGGAGGUAGCUGCUGAAGAAGGUCAGACAGCAAGGUUGGAGGUUCAUGAAGCCAAGGGCGUGAUCUAUAGUCUAAGACAAGGGAAGAAUGAGUUGUAUCAGCUUGUGAGGAGGCUGAGAGAAGUAGAAUCAGAGUUGAGUAUGGUAAAAACUCAUACAGCAAGUCCGAGUUGGUGUCAAGGAAGGAGGAAGCAAGAUGUGAUCUUUGGCUUUCUUAUGGGAGAGAUAUGUAAGCUGGUUGAACACAUGUGUGAUGUGUGGGAGAUAAACAAGAAGCCAGAUAGAUGAAGAGAGGUACAAGGUGCAAGAAGGGAAAGUUGAGAAAACUUUCUAAGAUGUGGGUCAUGAUGAGCAGAUUAUGGAGAAAGGAUAUCAAGGAGAGUAUGCAAGUAGGAGAAUGCUUGUACUCAGCUUACAUUGGAGAAUCUGUAGAGAGCAGUGGGGUUAUGAGGAAGCUAGAGUCCAAAGGAGCGGAUGAGCCUGUCACAAAGGAGGAAUGGGAUGAGUUUGUCAAGUAUGUGUAUGCUUUGGCUACGACCCGGAGACAAGGUGCUCCUGCCAAAGCAUCCACAUCCAACAAACCCAUCAUUGUUGAUUCUGGAGCAAGUCAUCACAUGAUUAGUGACAGAAGCUUAAUGAGUGAUGUAAAGAAAGCUACUGGAGGUGUGAUGAUAGCUAAUGGUGAUAGGAUUCCAAUAGAAGGAGUUGGAAAGCUCAAGCUAUUUGAUAAAGACUCAGAUGCCUUCUACAUGCCACAGUUUGCUUCAAAUCUACUAUCUGUGAGGAGAGCCACGAUUGAUCUUGGCUGUCAAGUAGUAUUCAGGCCAGAUGAUGUUGAAUUCCAAGAUUUGAAGACUGGAAUGGUCAUUGGGAGAGGAGACAGCAAGAAUAAUCUAUACCAGCUCCAAUUGGCUAAGAUCUCUAAACCCUUUGAUUCUAUGUGUUUGAGUAGUACUUAUGAGAAGAUUGAUAGUAUUACUUGGCAUGCUAGAUUGGGACAUCCUCAUGCUCGUGCUAUUGAAUUGAUAAUUCCUAAUAUGUCAUUUAAUCACUUGGAGUGUGAAGCAUGCAUAUUAGGAAAGCAUUGUAGGACUGUUUUUCCAACAUCAGAAACUACUUAUGAGCAUUGCUUUGAUCUAGUUCAUUCAGAUGUGUGGACUGCACCUUGUUUGUCUAGAGAUAGCCAGAAGUACUUUGUGACAUUCAUUGAUGAGAAGUCUAAGUAUACUUGGCUUACAUUGCUUCCAUCUAAAGAUAGGGUGCUAGAAGCAUUUAUGAACUUCCAAGCAUAUGUAUCUAAUCAAUACAAUGCUACUAUGAAGGUACUGAGAUCAGAUAAUGGAGGUGAAUACAUCAGCAAUGCCUUCAAGAGUCAUCUAGCCAAGCAUGGGAUCGUGCAUCAGACUAGCUGCCCUUAUACACCACAGCAGAAUGGUGUAGCUGAGAGGAAGAACAGGCACUUGAUGGAGGUUGCUAGAUCGAUGAUGUUUCAUGCAAAUGUCCCAAAACGUUUUUGGAGUGAUGCUGUGCAGACUGCUUGCUAUCUCAUCAACCGGGUUCCAACCAAGAUAUUGAAGAAUCUGUCUCCAUUUGAAGUGUUGAACAAGAGCAAACCUGUCAUUGAUCACCUACGUGUCUUUGGGUGUGUGUGCUAUGUCAUGGUUCCAGGAGAGCAGAGAAACAAGCUGGAGGCAAAGAGUACUAAGGCUAUGUUCAUUGGUUAUUCUAUCACUCAGAAGGGGUACAAGUGCUAUGAUCCUGAAGCAAGGAGGGUGAUGGUAUCUAGAGAAGUGAAGUUUGUUGAAACAAAAGGUUAUUAUGAAGAAAAGGAGUGGGAAAAUCUGAAGGAUUUGUCUCAAGCUCCAUCUGAUAAGGCAACAAUACUGAGAGUGUUGUUGGAGAAGCUCGGGAUAGGGUUGAGAAGCUUGAUUUGGAUACAUAAAGUGGUGGAGAAUCACCAGGAAGUUGAAUAAAUCUCAUAGGAGUUGGCAAGAAGAAUUUAUCCCACUUUCAAAUCAGGUGAUUCCAGUUUCCCAGUUUGGGAAUAGCACAGCUUCUUUGUCGUUCCAAUCAAACCAGGAUGAAUCACUUUGUGAGAAGCUUGAUUUGGAUACAUAAAGUGGUGGAGAAUCAACAAGAAGUUGAAUUAAUCUUGAUAAAAUGAAUGAGUUAUAAGAGUGGUGUUGAAUUGAGCUGAGUAUAAGAAGAAGAGAUGAGGGGUUGAAGGGAUAAAGAGAUAAGGAAGUGUAGAGUUGAGGAAUGGAGAGCAUGGAGAGUUUGGGAGAGUUUGGUACGGAUGGACCGUACAGGCCGUACAGGCCGUACCGGCCGUACACAUUGUAUCGACCAAACUCGACCAAAGGUAAAAGAAACUUACCCGAGUAACUCGGUUGAAGGGAAGAAGCUUUACCCAAAGCUUAGGAUGAGUUGUGACCGUUAAGGGAAAGGAAGAAGCUGGGCGUGACAGUCUGGCACAGCUGGAAAGGCAAAAGGGAUCUUAUCCAAGAUACUAGAUGCCUUACACAUGUGAAGAACCUCAUUGGAUCAAUUCAAAAGAAGCGCUCCACUCUCUUUGACUCCACAUGCUUUAGCUUAUCCUCUUGUGUUGUAAAACCCUAAUCUCGACACUAUAUAUUUGUAACUCAGUCUCAUUAAUAAGAUUAAGCAAGUUAUGAAGUCUCUCUUAGUCUCUCUUUAGUUCUUUAGACUCUUAAUCUCAUUUCAUACUUUAAUCUUCUCUAAAUCUCUUCUAAUCUUUCCUAAAUACUCAGAUCACUCUAAACAUCACUAAAAGUGAUAAGUGGCUUGUGUGAUUUAUCAAGAACAAAGAGAAGAGAUAGCUAGGGUUUUACUAAGAAUCCGAGAGAGAGAGAGAGAGAGAGAGAGAUUUCGAAAACAUAAGAGAGAAGUGAGGAAGUGUUUUAUUUUCCUUGAUCCAUUUGGUUCUGAUUACAUACUUUAAAUAGAUGCAACAAUGAAUAAACUA